GAUGAACGCUGGCGGCGUGCCUAAUACAUGCAAGUCGAGCGAACAGACGAGGAGCUUGCUCCUCUGACGUUAGCGGCGGACGGGUGAGUAACACGUGGAUAACCGACCUAUAAGACUGGGAUAACUUCGGGAAACCGGAGCUAAUACCGGAUAAUAUAUUGAACCGCAUGGUUCAAUAGUGAAAGACGGUUUUGCUGUCACUUAUAGAUGGAUCCGCGCCGCAUUAGCUAGUUGGUAAGGUAACGGCUUACCAAGGCGACGAUGCGUAGCCGACCUGAGAGGGUGAUCAGCCACACUGGAACUGGGACACGGUCCAGACUCCUACGGGAGGCAGCAGUAAGGAAUCUUCCGCAAUGGGCGAAAGCCUGACGGAGCAACGCCGCGUGAGUGAUGAAGGUCUUCGGAUGGUAAAACUCUGUUAUUAGGGAAGAAAAAAUGUGUAAGUAACUAUGCACGUCUUGACGGUACCUAAUCAGAAAGCCACGGCUAACUACG
rnacentral:rRNA from 1 species